rnacentral:lncRNA from 1 species
CUCCUUUCCCGCUCAGUGGAGAGGCGCAGGCGCCAGAGCCCGACGCGCCGGGAGCGGCGCCUCCGUAGGAAGACGAGGCGUUUCCGGCUGCAUGCGUGGGCGUUUUCGCGGGGCGAUAAACCCCUUUUGUGCUUUGCGAGGCUGCAGCGGAAGAAGACAGGGCCUGGAGAGUCGUUCGCGCCUCCCGAGAUGCCCCUGCCUUGUCCUUUUUCUUUACUCCUCCGGAGGAAUCAGCAGAUGUCUCCGGUGACUGGUCCUCGAGUCCCUUCUCUCCGGACCCCGCACGCAUUGCGUCUUCUCUGAGCCGCUCCUGAUAGGCACGGAUCCGCUGGAGUUGUUUCUUCCUCCAUCGCAUCUGUUCUUCGAGUUUAUCGUUCAAAGCGCCCUGCAGUGCUUUCAGCGUCGUCUCUCUCACUUUCAGUUCCUCCCGCGCCGCCAGACUUCGGGAUUUGACUAGAUCUUCAAAAUGUUCUUCUUGUUCCAACCACUUUGCGUUUGCCUUUUCUAGCACCCUUUCUGCCUUCUCUCGCAGCCUCGACGUCAAACUCUCACAGAACGACAGAGGCUUUGAUUCUCUCUCCGUCCGGCGAUCUGCUGCUUGUUCCGCUUUGCCUCCGUCUCUCUGAAUCUUUUCGUUCGAGCCGCCCUCAUCGUGCGCCCCCACACUCAGCUGGUCCUUCGUUUUCUCCCCUUUCUCCCCUCCUGGAGCUGCGACUUCAGCUGUCAGUACAGAGGAAGACUUUUCCCGAUCGGCUUCUCCAUUAGGCCCAGCUUCUCCCGGUUCUGUGACGCUGGCAGCUUCCAAAGACAGCUUGCCGCCUUUCGUAGAAACAAAAGGUGGCUUUCGGAGAUUGCUGCUCUCCGAACUCGAGACAGAUUCACUCUCUUCGACAGGCGACGACAGAGGCUUCGUCGCCUGAGUUGAAGAGACGCCCGACGUACGCCGCUUCGGACUCACAUGAGGUCGCGUUGUGGCCUGCCGAGACCGCAUGAUUUCGAUCAAGACCGGAAAAAAGAAGAGAGGAGAGCAUGUGCAGAAGAAAGCACUGCGUCUACGGUGAUUGUUUCCGUGCUUUCUCUACGGAACAGCUGCUUCGUUUUCCCUCAUAGUGGCGUUUUCCGUUUUCUCGUGGCCACUCCGAGGUGACUGUUUUUCGAUGCCGCCUGUUUCUGCAUGCCUUCCUUUCUGUCACACUUGCGUGUGGAUAGAGCUGCGCGCGCCGUCAAGAACUAACUCGUCGCGUUCCUCUCGGAGGGAGGGGGGGAAACGGAGAGUUUAAAGCUUACAGUGGGGUAUCAAGAUCCUUCCUAAAGCCUCUACCGGAAAGCAAAAGGCCGUUUUCACGGUAAGCGUAGGGGGAAAAGCAUGUGGACAGAGCGCCGACUGUUAGUUUAUCCGCUCAGGAUUUCGCUCCAGAUACACCGUGGUGGCUACGGAUGCAUUCGCACUCCCCGACGCUGUGCGCAUACCAAUUACUCUGCCCUAUCGAUAUCUGUAGUCAAAUGUGCGGUGUUGGAUCUACUCUACCUCUACAAAUGCGAGCAUCUGAAGCAAGCUUCGUGAUUUCGUUUUUUUGGAGUGGGUUGGGCACGGUCGCACAACAGGACUACCCUCGGAGGGCCCCGGCUUCCGAUAGGUAGCCGCUUGGUCACACGCUGAGAGAAAAAGUCCACAGGAGACCAGAAGCUAAGAAGAAACAGAAACAAAUGAAGAUGAAGAGAAAGCGGGG